AACGAACGCUGGCGGCAGGCUUAACACAUGCAAGUCGAACGCCCCGCAAGGGGAGUGGCAGACGGGUGAGUAACGCGUGGGAAUCUACCCAGUUCUACGGAAUAACCCAGGGAAACUUGGACUAAUACCGUAUACGCCCUACGGGGGAAAGAUUUAUCGGAAUUGGAUGAGCCCGCGUUGGAUUAGCUAGUUGGUGGGGUAAUGGCCUACCAAGGCGACGAUCCAUAGCUGGUCUGAGAGGAUGAUCAGCCACACUGGGAGUGAGACACGGCCCAGACUCCUACGGGAGGAGGCAGUGGGGAAUAUUGGACAAUGGGCGCAAGCCUGAUCCGGCCAUGCCGCGUGAGUGAUGAAGGCCUUAGGGUUGUAAAGCUCUUUCAGUGGGGACGAUAAUGACGGUACCCACAGAAGAAGCCCCGGCUAACUUCGUGCCAGCCGCCGCAGUAAUAC
rnacentral:rRNA from 1 species